UGCAAGUCGAGCGAGGACUUCGGUCCUAGCGGCGGACGGGUGAGUAACGCGUGGGAACGUGCCCUUUGGUUCGGAAUAGCCCCGGGAAACUGGGAGUAAUACCGGAUAAGCCCUACGGGGGAAAGAUUUAUCGCCAAAGGAUCGGCCCGCGUCUGAUUAGCUAGUUGGUGGGGUAACGGCCUACCAAGGCGACGAUCAGUAGCUGGUCUGAGAGGAUGAUCAGCCACACUGGGACAGAGACACGGCCCAGACUCCUACGGGAGGCAGCAGUGGGGAAUAUUGGACAAUGGGCGCAAGCCUGAUCCAGCCAUGCCGCGUGAGUGAUGAAGGCCUUAGGGUUGUAAAGCUCUUUUGUCCGGGACGAUAAUGACGGUACCGGAAGAGUAAGCCCCGGCUAACUUCGUGCCAGCAGCCGCGGUAAU
rnacentral:rRNA from 1 species